rnacentral:misc_RNA from 1 species
CACACACAUACACAGAGCAGCCACAGACUCGAUCACUCGCACGCACAGUGCCAGACGUGUGUGCACGCACAUACGCGCGCGCGCACGUACGUGUACGCCUUUGCACACCCAUUUAUACAACAUAGACACUCACCCAUCAUAGAAAGCGUAGCAGCCCCUUAUUUAAAGUAACGUGCCCCAUCGCGCCCGCGAGAGGGAGAGAGGGGCACGCACGCGCGCACACACACGUAAACGCGCAUCUGCGGACACCUGCGCUUGUUGAAAAGAGCUCAUCCUCUUAUCUUUCCUCUUUGUCCUUCAUGAUCUGGCGCGGCGGCAGGGGCGCUGCGCGAUGGGCGGCCGGUGCGUUGCGAUGCUUGCACUACUCCCCUAGCGCAGCGGCCAUCCUUGCGAUAGCAGCGCCGCUAUCGACGUGCCGCGUGCAGCUGCUCGGCCACUGGUCGGCGACUGCACCGCGCACCGCGCUCGUCGCGGGAACCGCUUUGGUCUACCAGCAACGUCUCUACGCGAGCACGGCUGCAUCAGGGAGCAGCGGGGCCUUCCAUGGGCAUGACCACCGCUUCAGCGACAGCAAGAACGGAGCGGCAGGCAGCAGCGGCUCCUCCUCGGCCAACAGUGGCGCCGGCGGCAGCAGCAGCAUCAACGGCUACGGCGGCGGUAGUGGAUUCCGCGGCAGCGGGGCCGCCAAGCAGCAGCAGGCGGGCAAGUGGAUCAAAAAGGUCAAGGCAAGCCGCCGUAUACUGAAGAGCAAGCGCGCAGGACCGAAGGCAAAGGCCGCAUCCACGCCAGCCUCCUCCGCCUCUGGUGGCUCGGCGGCGACAGCGUCGGCCAGCGCAGCGUCUGGUGGCGCCUCAGCGAACCAGGGUAGCGGGGCGGGUCGCAGUAGUAGUGGCAGCGGUGGUGGUAUCGUGGCGUCGCUGUCGCCGGGCGCAGCCUCUGCCCAGUCGCGCACCACCGCUUGUCGACGCAAGAAGAAGAGCAGCCGAGUCCCCCCGCCCCCGUCGGGCUCGCCGCCAACGCCUGGCAGCAGUGCAGCGACGAGAGGAUCUAGGCGCCCUCUCACGUGCAAAAGGGCCUCAACUGGUUCCCUCAGCGGCACCGGCGCAACUGCGAAGAAGGCGGUCACGGUCGCACACGCCGCCUCCCACGGCCGCUCGGCAGCCUCUUCCCCGUCCGCCACCGCCGCUGUACGCGCCAAGGCAAAGAAGCGAAAGCGCAUCCGCAUUUGCGUACUCAGUAGCAGCUACGACGGCACCGACUCGGCAACGGCCAGCGUGGACAACUACUGGUGCACGCCGCAGCACUACAUGAAGAAGGACCGGCACAAGUACUCCUUCGCCGAUGUGUCCAUGAAGAAAAUCGACUCGUACCGCACCGUGCGUAAGCUGGUGACCUCCAACAAGUACGACGUCUUCUUCAACCUCUGCGACGGCGGCCGUGAUGAGAAGCGCGCCGGCGUCGACGUGGUAGAGGCGCUGGAGGAGCAGAACGCCGCCUUCACCGGCACGGACUCGCGCGGCUUUGAGCCGAGCAAGAUCGACAUGAAGCUGAUGGUCGGGUCGAGCGGUGUCAAGGUGCCCAAUUUUGUGCUGCUCAGCAACGAUGAGAGCCUCGCCAAGAAGUGCCGGCACCUGAAGUUCCCAGUGAUCGUGAAGCACCUCUCCGGCUACGCAUCCGUUGGCAUUCAAAAAGACAGCCGCUGUGACACGCUGGAUCAGCUGCGGACGAAGGUGCGCGGCUUCAUCAAGGAGUACAACCACGCGCUGGUGGAGGAGUUCAUUCGGGGCCGCGAGGGCACCGUGCUGGCCUGUGCAGACCCUGGCAGCCCGUUCGGCGUGAAGGUAUUCAAGCCGCUCAUGUUCAACUUCCUGCAGAACAACGACGACUUUGCGUACUUUGAGAAGAAGUGGACGAUGGAGUGUGGCGAUCAGGCGUACGGCUUCCUCGCCUCGUCGGACCCGGCCUACACCGCCAUCACGGAUAUGGCCCGAAACGCGUUCAAGUACAUCAUGAGCGGCGUCGGCUACGGUCGCGUCGACUUCCGCAUCGACGAGCUGACCGGGGAGCCGUACUUCCUGGAGAUUAACCCGAACUGCGGUAUGUGGUACGCCCCGAAGGACGGUGGCGACUUCGCAGACGUGAUGGUCGAGGGAGACCCACACUGGAACCACGAGCGCUUCGUUGCCAACGCCGUGGCGCGGGCACUGCGAGACCAGGCGGCACGCAAGCCGUGGUACUUCAUCAGUCACGACCGAAACGGGCAGUUCUCCACGCGAGCCAGCAAAACAGUAGCGGCCGGCAAGUGCCUCUUUGGCGACGCGGUGCACCCGAUCCCGGUGGUGGCCAAGUCGCUCUACAAGCUGGGCGAGGAGGAGCCCACAGUCGGCUGCGUCAUCUGCCGCGGCGAUGGUAUUCACCAAGCGGUGGCGCUGCGCCACUCGUGUGAGCCGAACAUGGGUUUUGUGCACGGCCGCACCUUGCUCUUCGCCGCCAAGCGGCAGAUCAACGUUGGCGAGGAGCUCACGGUCGACUACGCCACCCUGCGCGAUGAGUCGAUGCCUCACUUCGUGUGCAGCUGCGGCACUGAGAAUUGUCGUAGUGUCAUUUUUCCUAUGCCGGCAAUGCCGCGCACCGUCGAGGCCAAGACGAUGAAGCGGUUGCUACGGGAGAAGAAGCAGGUCUGGAUGAAGGAGAAGGCGGACCGCGAAGCGGAGCGGAUCCUCAAGAAGCGCUCCUCGCGCGCCCCGUCCUCUUCCGCGUCUGGGAGUGGCGGUGGUGGCGCCUCUGCAGGUUCAUCGUCCAGCGCCGGCCACGCCAGCAGCAGUGCAAGCGGUGGUGCCAGCUCCAGCAGCGGCAGCGGCAGUAGUAGUGGCAUUAGCACCUCGGAGAAAAGGUAAUGUUGUGUGAGGGGGACGAGAGGGGGCCGACAACUGUCUGUUCAGCACGUGCAAGUACACGCACACGCACUCAAUGAAGUGGUCUCACCUCGACUGUACCGACGGAUGAUGGGCUGCAUGAUGCCUGCCUGGAUGGCUGGUGUGUCUGUGUGGGUGCGCCUACACGUGCAAGUGUAGUGAGAGAUCCGUUCCCGCUUCGCUUGUCGUCAUGACGCAGCAGAAG